GUCAAAAUUCAUGGGUCAACUCAA
rnacentral:siRNA from 1 species